rnacentral:misc_RNA from 1 species
GUCAUCGCGCUAGUCGCAGUUGAUUUACUUUCGAAGACGAAUUAAUAUUAUUUCGUGCAUACAAUUUUUUAUACCAACUAAACUGCGAUUAGAUGAUAAUAAUAAUGUGGUAAACAAUAUUUGAAUAUUAUAUUAUUGUGUAUCACUUCAGUGGUAUUUUAGUUGUUACAUGAGACGACGAAUCGUAUAAACAGCCAUAACACCCAUAACGGCCAUAACAACUAAAACAGUAGCCACUGUUUCCGAAAUGACAACCACAUCAGACAUGAACUUGUCUAACAGUUUUUUCAAAGCGUCGUUAACGCUGUUAACGGUUUAUGUGACUGUAGCUUCUACGCUACGCCAACCAGAAGAUUUCCAAAGACGUGUCAUUAAAUUGACUAUAGACUCUAUUAGCCCAACAGCGUUUUAUGCCGAAUGGAGACUAUUGCCAGACAUCGACGGCACUGUAAAUUAUUCACUCACGUAUUCCACUCAACUCAACACCGAAGUUAAAUUAACUAGUGGCAACAACUUAACACUGACCGGGUUGAUGGAAUGCACAGCCUAUAUAAUUACGGUGAGGAGUUUAUAUUAUGGAGUCGGUGAAAAUGCGUUUGGCGGUCCCUUUACUUCUACAGUAGCGCUGACUUCACAUACUUCCCAAUUGAAAGCAGUGAGGAACUUAAUCUUAGUGAUUUCGAGUCACUCGAUUUUGAUUUCAUGGGAAAACCCGGCGGAACAGAAAUUGUGUACGGCGCAUAUUCACGUCUCAUUGACUUCAAUUAGGGACACUGGCCAAGAAAUACUAACUGAAUUUGACCAUCACAUAAUGACAGCGUUAGAGCCCUGCGUCACAUAUUUUGGUUACGUUUCCGCGGUCGAUUUCGUUGGCGUCAAAGGAACUCCCGUGGCGUUCAAUGUGACAACGGACACUGGAAUACCCGGGCCUGUAGUGAAAUUAACAGCUUUGUCAAAUUACUCGAGAACUAUAUUCGUUAGAUGGGAUAAACCGAUUAAUUCGUCUUUCUGUUUUCGUCAAUACGUAAUCGUUUAUUGUUACGAUAUGUUUGUUUGCUCUACAAUUAUUACUGAAACCAACUCUUUGACUAUUUCACACCUAAUGCCUUGUGUAACGUACCAAAUAACAGUCACGCCGAAGAUGACUGACACCGAGAAUGGCAUGCCAGCCAGAACCAAAGCCACUGUAAUCGCUGAAGUUUUGGAAAAGCCAAAGAAUGGACGAAUAUUGUUAUUAACCAGUAAUAACGUCACUCUGCAAUGGGAUCAUCCUAUCGAUUCCGUUUGCAAUUUUAUACACCAAAUCGUAAACUGUUCGUAUUUGAAUACUUCACUUGAGAUGACAGCAUAUACAACAGUCCAAGCAGUAGUCAUCGAUAACUUGAAACCUUUCACAAAAUACAUUUGUUACUCGGCGUAUUUUAAUAAGCAAGGUUAUUCAGAAAAGAGUGACGAAAUCAUAUUUCGGACAAAGUUACAGGUGCCAGACCCACCGACAAAUUUAUCCAUCAUUAAAUUGUUCGCCAACAGCGUGGUCCUUGCGUGGGCAGCGCCUACUACGAUAUCGCACGAUGCAAUCGACGAAUACCGUUGGAUAGUAACGUUCAAGAAUUUUUUAUACGAUCUUCCGAAUCACUGCGCUCCCAGAACCGUGGAACCCGUGGUCACAUAUUUCGUUAAAAAUGACCAGACGUACCAGUAUCAAAUUGCGAAUCUAAUGCCCGCUAGCUGCUACCUCGUAGAAUUGAGCGCUGCAACAGAGUCCGGUCUUGGAAAUUCGACAAAUAUUACGAUGCACACAUUAUCUUCGACUAGUUCUCCGGUUAAAAACCUACAAGUCACAUCGAUAGAAUUCAAUUUGGUCGUCCUAAGUUGGAAGUACCCAUGCAUGCCAAACGGAAAAAUUGCAUUUUUCCACAGUACACUAGUGGGAGAAAGACUUGGAUUUCAUAAUCACAUUUUUAGUAUUAAAUGCGAUAUUUCAGACAAUGAAACGGAAUUCCAAUAUAGCUUAACUCAAUUACUGCCUGAAUACACGUACGUCUGUACGGUAGCAGCAAUAACCGAUUCCGUGGAGAACCCGGGUCAAGACAAACGCAUUCGAUUUAUCACACCAUCGACAAGCCCGGAUUUACCGAAUAAAUACGAUACAUACCGCAAAUUACGAGUGACCGUAUCCGACAGUCAUCUUACGCAAGUCCAUUUGUCCAUACCCGGCGACUUGUUCACGAGCACCUCCGGAAACAUCUUAUACUAUUCGAUAAUCGUUUACCAGGACGGUGGAUUUCCGGAUAAACCGGAACAUGGCAAUAGGUUAAAUAAUCCACGACAGCAGAUGGACGACGACGUCUGGCCGCCCGUAAUGCGGACGUGGGCCGAAGCUGCGCCGUACCCUUUCAUACUGGCGUACCAGACGACCCCCGAUCGGUGGAUGCCUUUCAAAGACCAAAAUGAUGGGGUUUUCGACAUUGGCGCGGAUGACACCUGUUCCAUAAACGAUAUGAAAAGUUAUUGCAACGGGCCGCUGAGACCAGUUACCAAUUACAGACUGAAACUCAGGGCUUUUACCGCAGACGGGUUUCAAGAUUCAUGGACCGUACCAUUUACUACGCGCGGAAAACCCACUGCAGUCUACUAUUUGGUGUUGUACAGUGUACUGUUCGCGGUGAUCAUCACUGCGACCGGAAUGUAUUGUAUACUCAACGAAAAAGUCCCGUGGGCUGUACAGUACAGAGUGGUACACCCGACAACACGCCAAGAGCCCGGUUUGCCGAGUGACAUGAACUUCAAACACCUGUGGGCCAAAACUCCCCAAGAAAUCGAGGCCGAGUACGACCUACUGAAUAUGUACUCGAAAUCAAACUUCACGACGGAUGUGGCUGUGAUGCCUCAGAACAAGUUCAAAAACCGUUACAUCAACGCGUUACCAUAUGACUACAACCGAGUGAUUUUAAGGUCCGGCGACACUGAUGACUACAUAAAUGCAUCUUUUAUCGAAGAUUCCAAAGGUCAUCGCCAAUAUAUAGCUUGCCAAGGUCCCUUGAAAAAUACUUGCGUUGAUAUGUGGCAAAUGGUUUUGGAUCAAGACGUGGCUUCGAUUGUUAUGUUGUGUCAGAUAAGUGAAAAAGACAAGAUAAAAUGCAAUAAAUAUUUUCCAAACAGCAAUGAAAAAUUAGUCUUUGGCGAUAUUCAAGUGAAAAACGACAUAACGAUUGUCGACAAAGAGCGUUAUUCGUUCACAAUAAGAAUAUUGACGGUUCUAAAAAAACCGGUCUAAAAUUGAAACUAAUAACAGUAUCGAUCUAUAUUGAACUACCAACUACACAUUUUAUGAGUUAGGAGUUAGGACUCGUGGAUUUCGUGUUUUCAGGGCCAUGUAAAAAAGACGAUAAGACAUUUUCAAUUUCACGACUGGCCGGAUUUCGGAACACCAAACGACCCG